CCGCGGUAAUACGGAGGGUGCAAGCGUUAUCCGGAUUUAUUGGGUUUAAAGGGUCCGUAGGCGGAUGCGUAAGUCAGUGGUGAAAUCUCACAGCUCAACUGUGAAACUGCCAUUGAUACUGCGUGUCUUGAGUGAGGUUGAAGUAGCUGGAAUAAGUAGUGUAGCGGUGAAAUGCAUAGAUAUUACUUAGAACACCAAUUGCGAAGGCAGGUUACUAAGUCUCAACUGACGCUGAUGGACGAAAGCGUGGGGAGCGAACAGGAUUAGAUACCCUGGUAGUCCACGCUGUAAACGAUGCUAACUCGUUUUUGGGGAUUUAUCUUCAGAGACUAAGCGAAAGUGAUAAGUUAGCCACCUGGGGAGUACGAACGCAAGUUUGAAACUCAAAGGAAUUGACGGGGGCCCGCACAAGCGGUGGAAUAUGUGGUUUAAUUCGAUGAUGCGCGAGGAACCUUACCAAGGCUUAAAUGGGAAUUGAUCGGUUUAGAAAUAGACCUUCCUUCGGGCAAUUUUCAAGGUGCUGCAUGGUUGUCGUCAGCUCGUGCCGUGAGGUGUUAGGUUAAGUCCUGCAACGAGCGCAACCCCCUGUCACUAGU
rnacentral:rRNA from 1 species